GCUGUGCGUUGGGCGCCCGGCUCUGCUCCGCGGCCGCACCCCGCGGGCUAUGGGUGCUGUGCCCCCCGCACCGCCAUCACGAGGAGCCGACCGAAUCAGAUCCCAGCGCGGCUCUCCGCCUUGUUUUUGGCUGGGCGGCUUGCCGUGGCGACCUGAUGAUGACGGGAAGGGGGUGCCUGGCGUUGCGAGAGCGCGUGGCUGGGGUCCCUUCCAACUCAAACUGUUCUGUGAUCCUAUGAAGAAGCGACUCGGGAGAAGCCGGAGGAGGAGAUGGAACAUCCCUCUGAAGGAAAAGAUGUGGCUGCUGUGCUGGGUGCCGUGUGCCAGUGCUGCCCAGCAAAUGUUAAGCGCUCAGACUCCUACAGGAAGGGAAGCCCCGCAACACUUGGAUCCACAGCCCCACUGCUGCCAUCAGAGAGAGCAUUAUUCCAUCCGGGUGCUGCCAGCUGCAAGCAAAUAGACCGCCUUCAGCAUGCAAAUAAUGGACCCACUGUAGGAGCGGGGAGACAGAUGAGAGCCCCACUGAUUCCUGGAAAAACCUGUACCUGUAGGCACUGGUGAUAAAAUGGCUUGGAGGGCUCUUCCGUGGAUGACUGGGGACAACUGGGACAGGUGCAUUUUGUAGAGUCAUAG
ensembl:lncRNA